rnacentral:rRNA from 1 species
GACGAACGCUGGCGGCGUGCUUAACACAUGCAAGUCGAGCGGAAAGGCCCUUCGGGGUACUCGAGCGGCGAACGGGUGAGUAACACGUGAGUAAUCUGCCCUUGGCUUUGGGAUAACUACCGGAAACGGUGGCUAAUACCGGAUACGACAACCGUCUGCAUGGGCUGGUUGUGGAAAGUUUUUUCGGCCAGGGAUGUGCUCGCGGCCUAUCAGCUUGUUGGUGGGGUAAUGGCCUACCAAGGCUUCGACGGGUAGCCGGCCUGAGAGGGUGACCGGCCACACUGGGACUGAGACACGGCCCAGACUCCUACGGGAGGCAGCAGUGGGGAAUAUUGGACAAUGGGCGGAAGCCUGAGCCAGCAACGCCGCGUGAGGGAUGACGGCCUUCGGGUUGUAAACCUCUUUCAGUACCGACGAAGCGCCGAUGAUGGUGGUGACGGUAGGUACAGAAGAAGCACCGGCCAACUACGUG